GGAGGGAAAAUUAGAUUCUGUUUCCUGAGGCCUGCCCCUGACGCCUAACACACCCAAAGUUAUAACAAAAGACUGUAACAAGGGCUGUGGGAGUUAUGAACCAGGAACUGUAGAUGAAAAUCAAAAUAAUAAUUUUAUAUAUUAAAAAAUAUCACCACACUGCCACAUCCUACUGCUAAAGUACCUCAUCUUUCAUCUGUCAUCUGUGACCCAUCUCGUCUGUGCUCUACUCUGGCCUGUGUCAGAACGUCAACUUUCUUACUUCUGGACCUUCAUAUGUGGUGAAAUUCUUUUUAAUGCUAUACCUUCACACUGCAGAGCAGUUUUCUUAUUCUAUGACACAACAGCCAAACACCCUACUCCAAGGACUUCCCUGCCCAGGAAACUGGUGCCUCAGUCCAGACACAGGUGAUCUUAAUUAAGGUUUGCCAGCUUGUUAGUGGAGAGGAAAUAGUAGUUAUAUCCCAUCUGUCCUCCAUGACUCUCACGAGCAAAUCAGAAAGUGGUGGGGACAUGCCGAUAGAUGAGGAGGUUCCAGAACCAAGAUACAUCCACCCUGGGAAAGAAACAUUCUGUAAGGCACUGUGUGAGGAACUUUCUAUACAUAAUCUUAAUGUUGCCAUUUGAUCAUAAAGAUAAUUCAACUUCACAAUUUGACUCCAGCAGUAUGUUGAUCCUGCUAUAUCCAAGAAUUUAGCAUCAACAAACCAGAACAACUGUCAUCUCCUUGGU